rnacentral:rRNA from 1 species
CAGCCGCCGCGGGAAUACGGAGGAUCCAAGCGUUAUCCGGAUUUAUUGGGUUUAAAGGGUGCGUAGGUGGCCUGUUAAGUCAGGGGUGAAAGACGGUAGCUCAACUAUCGUAGUGCCCUUGAUACUGAUGGGCUUGAAUGAACUAGAGGUAGGCGGAAUGUGACAAGUAGCGGUGAAAUGCAUAGAUAUGUCACAGAACACCAAUUGCGAAGGCAGCUUACUAUGGUUUUAUUGACACUGAGGCACGAAAGCGUGGGGAUCAAACAGGAUUAGAUACCCCCGUAGUCCCUGUCUCUUAUAC